rnacentral:tRNA from 1 species
GGAGGUUAAACUCCUCCCUAGCGCC